rnacentral:rRNA from 1 species
UUUCGCAAUGCCCGAAAGGGUGACGAUGCGACGCCGCGUGGAGGAUGAAGGCCUUCGGGUUGUAAACUCCUGUCAGGGCAAAAGAAGGGGAGGGGAGGAAACUCCCUGACCUUGACUCAGCCCAAAGGAAGCCCCGGCUAACUCCGUGCCAGCAGCAGCGGUAAGACGGAGAGGGCGAGCGUUGUUCGGAAUUACUGGGCGUAAAGAGCGCGUAGGCGGGUCCGUAUGUCAGGGGUGAAAGCCCCCGGCCCAACCGGGGAAUUGCCUCUGAAACUGCGGUCCUCGAGUGGAGCAGGGGGGAGUGGAACUCUCGGUGGAGCGGUGAAAUGCGUUGAUAUCGAGGGGAACGUCGGCGGCGAAGGCGACUCCCUAUGCUUCUACUGACGCUGAGGUGCGAAAGCCAGGGGAGCGGACGGGAUUAGAUACCCCGGUAGUCCUGGCCUUAAACGGUGGGCACUAAGUAGAGGGGUUUUAAUCUC